rnacentral:pre_miRNA from 1 species
UAUAUACUCCCUCCGUCUGGAAAUACUUGUCAUUGGAAUGAAUGUAUCUAGAUGUAUUUUAAUUCUAGAUACAUCCAUUUUCAUCCAUUUAUGCGACAAGUAUUUCUGGACGGAGGGAGUAUUUG